rnacentral:rRNA from 1 species
UUGCUCCGAUCGGAUUAGUGGCGGACGGGUGAGUAACACGUGAGCAACCUGCCUUCAAGAGUGGGAUAGCACCUGGAAACGGGUGGUAAUACCGCAUAAGACCACAGCAUCGCAUGGUGCAGAGGUCAAAGGAGCAAUCCGCUUGAAGAUGGGCUCGCGUCCGAUUAGAUAGUUGGUGAGGUAACGGCUCACCAAGUCGACGAUCGGUAGCCGGACUGAGAGGUUGAACGGCCACAUUGGAACUGAGAUACGGUCCAGACUCC